GUCUACGGCCAUGCCACCCUGAAUGUGUCCUAUCUCGUCUGAUCUCAGAAGCUAAGCAGGGUCUGGCCUGGUUAGUAUUUGGAUGAGAGACCACCAAGAAUACCAGGUGCUGUAGGCA
rnacentral:rRNA from 1 species